GGGUUGUGAGGUUAAGCGACUAAGCGUACACGGUGGAUGCCCUGGCAGUCAGAGGCGAUGAAGGACGUGCUAAUCUGCGAUAAGCGUCGGUAAGGUGAUAUGAACCGUUAUAACCGGCGAUUUCCGAAUGGGGAAACCCAGUGUGUUUCGACACACUAUCAUUAACUGAAUCCAUAGGUUAAUGAGGCGAACCGGGGGAACUGAAACAUCUAAGUACCCCGAGGAAAAGAAAUCAACCGAGAUUCCCCCAGUAGCGGCGAGCGAACGGGGAGCAGCCCAGAGCCUGAAUCAGUGUGUGUGUUAGUGGAAGCGUCUGGAAAGGCGCGCGAUACAGGGUGACAGCCCCGUACACAAAAAUGCACAUACUGUGAGCUCGAUGAGUAGGGCGGGACACGUGGUAUCCUGUCUGAAUAUGGGGGGACCAUCCUCCAAGGCUAAAUACUCCUGACUGACCGAUAGUGAACCAGUACCGUGAGGGAAAGGCGAAAAGAACCCCGGCGAGGGGAGUGAAAAAGAACCUGAAACCGUGUACGUACAAGCAGUGGGAGCCUCUUAAUGGGGUGACUGCGUACCUUUUGUAUAAUGGGUCAGCGACUUAUAUUCUGUAGCAAGGUUAACCGAAUAGGGGAGCCGAAGGGAAACCGAGUCUUAACUGGGCGUUAAGUUGCAGGGUAUAGACCCGAAACCCGGUGAUCUAGCCAUGGGCAGGUUGAAGGUUGGGUAACACUAACUGGAGGACCGAACCGACUAAUGUUGAAAAAUUAGCGGAUGACUUGUGGCUGGGGGUGAAAGGCCAAUCAAACCGGGAGAUAGCUGGUUCUCCCCGAAAGCUAUUUAGGUAGCGCCUCGUGAAUUCAUCUCCGGGGGUAGAGCACUGUUUCGGCAAGGGGGUCAUCCCGACUUACCAACCCGAUGCAAACUGCGAAUACCGGAGAAUGUUAUCACGGGAGACACACGGCGGGUGCUAACGUCCGUCGUGAAGAGGGAAACAACCCAGACCGCCAGCUAAGGUCCCAAAGUCAUGGUUAAGUGGGAAACGAUGUGGGAAGGCCCAGACAGCCAGGAUGUUGGCUUAGAAGCAGCCAUCAUUUAAAGAAAGCGUAAUAGCUCACUGGUCGAGUCGGCCUGCGCGGAAGAUGUAACGGGGCUAAACCAUGCACCGAAGCUGCGGCAGCGACACUAAGUGUUGUUGGGUAGGGGAGCGUUCUGUAAGCCUGUGAAGGUGUACUGUGAGGUAUGCUGGAGGUAUCAGAAGUGCGAAUGCUGACAUAAGUAACGAUAAAGCGGGUGAAAAGCCCGCUCGCCGGAAGACCAAGGGUUCCUGUCCAACGUUAAUCGGGGCAGGGUGAGUCGACCCCUAAGGCGAGGCCGAAAGGCGUAGUCGAUGGGAAACAGGUUAAUAUUCCUGUACUUGGUGUUACUGCGAAGGGGGGACGGAGAAGGCUAUGUUGGCCGGGCGACGGUUGUCCCGGUUUAAGCGUGUAGGCUGGUUUUCCAGGCAAAUCCGGAAAAUCAAGGCUGAGGCGUGAUGACGAGGCACUACGGUGCUGAAGCAACAAAUGCCCUGCUUCCAGGAAAAGCCUCUAAGCAUCAGGUAACAUCAAAUCGUACCCCAAACCGACACAGGUGGUCAGGUAGAGAAUACCAAGGCGCUUGAGAGAACUCGGGUGAAGGAACUAGGCAAAAUGGUGCCGUAACUUCGGGAGAAGGCACGCUGAUACGUAGGUGAAGUCCCUCGCGGAUGGAGCUGAAAUCAGUCGAAGAUACCAGCUGGCUGCAACUGUUUAUUAAAAACACAGCACUGUGCAAACACGAAAGUGGACGUAUACGGUGUGACGCCUGCCCGGUGCCGGAAGGUUAAUUGAUGGGGUUAGCGGUAACGCGAAGCUCUUGAUCGAAGCCCCGGUAAACGGCGGCCGUAACUAUAACGGUCCUAAGGUAGCGAAAUUCCUUGUCGGGUAAGUUCCGACCUGCACGAAUGGCGUAAUGAUGGCCAGGCUGUCUCCACCCGAGACUCAGUGAAAUUGAACUCGCUGUGAAGAUGCAGUGUACCCGCGGCAAGACGGAAAGACCCCGUGAACCUUUACUAUAGCUUGACACUGAACAUUGAGCCUUGAUGUGUAGGAUAGGUGGGAGGCUUUGAAGUGUGGACGCCAGUCUGCAUGGAGCCGGCCUUGAAAUACCACCCUUUAAUGUUUGAUGUUCUAACGUUGGCCCCUGAUCGGGGUUGCGGACAGUGUCUGGUGGGUAGUUUGACUGGGGCGGUCUCCUCCUAAAGAGUAACGGAGGAGCACGAAGGUUGGCUAAUCCUGGUCGGACAUCAGGAGGUUAGUGCAAUGGCAUAAGCCAGCUUGACUGCGAGCGUGACGGCGCGAGCAGGUGCGAAAGCAGGUCAUAGUGAUCCGGUGGUUCUGAAUGGAAGGGCCAUCGCUCAACGGAUAAAAGGUACUCCGGGGAUAACAGGCUGAUACCGCCCAAGAGUUCAUAUCGACGGCGGUGUUUGGCACCUCGAUGUCGGCUCAUCACAUCCUGGGGCUGAAGUAGGUCCCAAGGGUAUGGCUGUUCGCCAUUUAAAGUGGUACGCGAGCUGGGUUUAGAACGUCGUGAGACAGUUCGGUCCCUAUCUGCCGUGGGCGCUGGAGAACUGAGGGGGGCUGCUCCUAGUACGAGAGGACCGGAGUGGACGCAUCACUGGUGUUCGGGUUGUCAUGCCAAUGGCACUGCCCGGUAGCUAAAUGCGGAAGAGAUAAGUGCUGAAAGCAUCUAAGCACGAAACUUGCCCCGAGAUGAGUUCUCCCUGACUCCUUGAGAGUCCUGAAGGAACGUUGAAGACGACGACGUUGAUAGGCCGGGUGUGUAAGCGCAGCGAUGCGUUGAGCUAACCGGUACUAAUGAACCGUGAGGCUUAACCUUACAACGCCGAAG
rnacentral:rRNA from 1 species